rnacentral:rRNA from 1 species
AUUGAACGCUGGCGGAAUGCUUUACACAUGCAAGUCGAACGGCAGCACGGGGGCAACCCUGGUGGCGAGUGGCGAACGGGUGAGUAAUACAUCGGAACGUGCCCAGUCGUGGGGGAUAACGUAGCGAAAGCUACGCUAAUACCGCAUACGAUCUACGGAUGAAAGCGGGGGAUCGCAAGACCUCGCGCGAUUGGAGCGGCCGCUGGCAGAUUAGGUAGUUGGUGGGGUAAAGGCUCACCAAGCCUUCGAUCUGUAGCUGGUCUGAGAGGACGACCAGCCACACUGGGACUGAGACACGGCCCAGACUCCUACGGGAGGCAGCAGUGGGGAAUUUUGGACAAUGGGCGAAAGCCGGAUCCAGCCAUUCCGCGUGCAGGAUGAAGGCCCUCGGGUUGUAAACUGCUUUUGUACGGAACGAAACGGCCUUUUCUAAUACAGAGGGCUAAUGACGGUACCGUAAGAAUAAGCACCGGCUAACUACGUGCCAGCAGCCGCGGUAAAGUCGAUA